UGUAAAAUCCUAUCAUCGCCAGGUUUCCAUAAGAGACAAUGCUUCAAUCUCUCUCUAUCACAGCUCUUGCUGUGCAUCUCCUCUCUCUCUCUAUCUUCAUAUCUGCAAUGACUUCCUCUUUGUGAUUUGAUUCCCUGAAUUCGAGUUUGCUUUUUAUUGAUCAUCUCGCGGAAAUCUCCUUUUUUCUUUUUCUCAGAUCCGAGGGUCGACCGUUGCAUGCUGAUAUUGAAAUCCAACCAGUCUCUGUAAGUGUUGGCAUUUCUCUGUCAAACUUCUCUGCUGAUUUCUUCCAGCCUUCUUCAAUUCCCUGAAGACGUUUUCAAUCCCAUUCCAAUUCUUCAUUUGAUUUUCCACAACUUUCUUUUUCUUUUUCAUAAUUUAGAUAAAACUAAGAUCAAUUCAUCAAAAUCAUAAUUUUUUACUCGUUUGCAUUCAAAUCCAAUUAUUUGUCAUAAAUCUCUCCAAUACCCAUAAAAUUCUCAGAAGCCCUUGAAUUUCUGGUUUUAAGUUGAUAUCACAAGUCGAGAUCAUAAAUGGCUGACCUACGGCAAUCAACAAAACCAGUUCUUCAAAGACCUCCUGGUUACAGAGACCCGACCAAUCCAGGCAGGCCGCCGGUCUCUAGACCACCACUUCGAAAAGGUGUCCUGCCACCUUCAUUCCAGCCAAGGAGAAGUCGCAAAAUCUUUGAUACUCGUGUAUGCUCGUGCAUCAUCUGCAUUUUCUUGUUAAUGAUGUUAUUCCUCCUAGGAAUUCUGGCUGGGUUUAUCUACCUCUGGUUCGAUCCGAAAUUCCCCGUUUUCCACGUCCAGUCAUUUAAGAUUCCCACUUUUGAAGUCAGUUCUAAACUCGACGGCACCUAUCUAAAUGCCGCGACGGUGGCGAGAAUGGAGGUGAAGAACCCUAACUCUAGGCUAACUUAUCGAUACAGUGGGUACCAAGUAGACAUGACACUGGGACAUGGUCAGGAGACUGAUUUGGGAUCCACGACUCUUCCAGGGCUCAUUCAGGUUAAAGGGAACACUACGAGUCUUAAGAUUGAGACUCACGUGAAGAACCAGCUGAUUGACGAUGGGACGGCAUCCAGGCUCAAGGCUCGGUUCAAAAGAAGGGACUUGGUGGUGAACCUGCGGGUGAAGACCAGCGUGGGCAUGGUGGUGGUGAAAGGAUUCGAGAUAGGGAUGCUAGGAGUGGAUGUGUUGUGUGACGGUAUAACCAUGAAGGAGAUCGACGGUGGUCAUAUGCCAAAAUGUACUAUUCGCACGCUCAAUUGGAUCAACUUAAAUUAAUUGACCUUUUCUUUUGGUGUGUGGUGCAUGGAGAUUGAUGGUAGAAAGAUUGAUGAUACAAUUUUACUCAUUUUUAUUUGAAAAUAAAAGAGAAAAAAAUGUAAUAUUUACAGAAAAUAUUCUUUCCUUUAAGGUAGGGAUGGGGAUGAGAAAGGAGACGGGAGAUCGCAUCGACAACAGUCUAACUGAAGAAGGAAGAAUCUCGUUCCAGCGGUGGGCCUGCGAAUGCAAAUGGGGUGGGGCUCUUGGAUUCCUCAUAUAUUGUCAGUGGGAGAAAUGGUUGCAAAAGGGGGAUGGUGGACCCCAAAGAAGGAAAGCC